AGUGAACGCUGGCGGUAGGCCUAACACAUGCAAGUCGAACGGCAGCACAGUAAGAGCUUGCUCUUACGGGUUGCGAGUGGCGGACGGGUGAGGAAUACAUCGUAAUCUACUUUUUCGUGGGGGAUAACGUAGGGAAACUUACUCUAAUACCGCAUACGACGUACCGGUGAAAGCAGGGGAUCUUCGCACCUUUCGCGAUUGAAUUAGCCGCUGUUGGACUAGUUAGUUGGCUGGUUAAAGGCCCACCAGGGGGAGGAUCGGUAGCUGGUGUGAGAGACUGAUAAGCGACACUGGAAGUGAGACACGGUCCAGAGUACUACGGGAGGCAGCAGUGGGGAAUAUUGGACAGUGGGCGCAAGCAUGAUACAGCCAUACCGAGUGUGUGAAGAAGGCGUUCGGGUUGUAAAGCCCUUUUGUUGGUAAAGAAAAGCAGCAGGUUAAUACCACGCUGUUCUGACGGUACCCAAAGAAUAAGCACCGGCUAACUUCGUG
rnacentral:rRNA from 1 species